GGCACCACUGCGCUCAACAACUGGGUUUUCUGCUGCGAAGUGACAUCCGAGAUGACAGGUUAUAUGACAGAUUAUGAAAAAGAAAGGGAAUUGGAAGUGAUCUUGAAAGCGUGCUAGAUUAUAUUUUCAUUAUUUGAGUGAAUUCGCUACUUUAUUGAUCUAAAUAACUAUUAUCAACGAUUUGUAAGUAAUAUAAUCAACCGCAUUUACUUUUGUAACACUAACGGAAUGAAUUCUUAGGUUCUAAGCGAAAUAGAGCGCAAAUUUAUUGUUCGGAAUUGGAAGAGGAAAAAGAAAACCAUUUAUGUGAGUGUUUUGAGCUACACUGUAAAAGGUUGCUGCAAAAAAGGAGUUUUGCUUUCACUCGUCCGAACAAACU
rnacentral:lncRNA from 1 species